UACAUGGGGGUGUCUAUGCCACCAGGUUAAUUUAACAACCAUAAUAUGAUCUCCUGCAGCCUAAAAGUCUCUUUGUGAUGGUCUUACAGCUCAGUAGUACUAGUUACUAGGGGAUGUCACUACAACUAAGGGAGCAUCCUUCCAUCCAUCCAUCCAUCCAUCCAUCCAUCCAUCCAUCCAUUUCCUUCUACACAGGGAGCAUGGAGCCUAUACCAAGGGACUUGGAGCAUAAAGUGGGGAACACCGUGGGCAACCCACUGCAGGGUCAGGUUUUUUUGAUUCCAUGGGAAGAAGUUUACAACAAUUUUUCAACAGUUUGAUGGCGAGCCACCCAACCAGAACCACUGUGUCUUGAAGGACGGGAUUUAAAAUUUUUUAUUAUUUUGGCUUUUCUGCAAAGUACUACAAAUGAAAAUACUCUAGAGGAGUGCCUUCAUUCAGAGUAAAAGAAAUUGUAGAGACCUUGAAAAAGACAUUUUAAUUUUGGAUGUGAUUUUUAUUUUAUUUAAGUUUUGUUAUUUUCCGUGUAUGUAUAUAUUUUAUUUUAGGCUUAACUUGGAGGGUGCAUCCUAGGAUAUUAUAUAUGUAUUGU
ensembl:lncRNA